rnacentral:rRNA from 1 species
GAUGAACGCUGGCGGCGUGCCUAAUACAUGCAAGUCGAGCGAAUGGAUUAAGAGCUUGCUCUUAUGAAGUUAGCGGCGGACGGGUGAGUAACACGUGGGUAACCUGCCCAUAAGACUGGGAUAACUCCGGGAAACCGGGGCUAAUACCGGAUAACAUUUUGAACCGCAUGGUUCGAAAUCGAAAGGCGGCUUCGGCUGUCACUUAUGGAUGGACCCGCGUCGCAUUAGCCAGUUGGUGAGGUAACGGCUCACCAAGGCAACGAUGCGUAGCCGACCUGAGAGGGUGAUCGGCCACACUGGGACUGAGACACGGCCCAGACUCCUACGGGAGGCAGCAGUAGGGAAUCUUCCGCAAUGGACGAAAGUCUGACGGAGCAACGCCGCGUGAGUGAUGAAGGCUUUCGGGUCGUAAAACUCUGUUGUUAGGGAAGAACAAGUGCUAGUUGAAUAAGCUGGCACCUUGACGGUACCUAACCAGAAAGCCACGGCUAACUACGUGCCAGCCGCCGCGGUAA